UCCCUGCGAUGGGCCUGCU
rnacentral:snRNA from 1 species